rnacentral:lncRNA from 1 species
UAAAUCUGACAAGUUCGUGCUUGUAUUUCAAUAUCUAUAAUCCAGUCAUGUUUUCUGUAUCAAUGGUUUCCACGAAUCUUGCGCUUUGGGUAUCAUUUACAGUUUAAAUUUCCUGAGACAAAGUCAUUGCAUAAAUAAAAAAGUCCCCAGUUUUCUAAUCACAGAAAUUUGUGACAUACCGCGAUUUGCAGUCUUGGAAACAGCGUGUUUCUCUUAACACCAAUAUUUCACGUCAUUCUCGUUAUCAAUCUUUACUCUCGGAAGAUGAUGUUGUCAUCAUAGAGCAGCGGAAAGGUCGACUUAAUCAUUUUUGUUAGAUUUACUUGAGGUACAAAACCGAAAUUUGAAACAGGAAGCUUUGAGGAUGAAACGAAAUUUUAACGGUUACCGGUAACGGGAAUGAACGAAAUCCGGAAAUCGUAAAUUUUAUAAAAUAAAAAAAUUCGGGGCGGGACGAUUUCAGAGGGGCGGGCGGGGAUGAAAAUCUAUCAAUUAAUUUUAAUUGGCCUUAUGGCCACAAUAAUUUUUUAGUGUUAGUAACAUACUUUUCAGAGACAAAUUGUUUUUUUCAGAAAAGUCCAUAAUGUAUAGAUUUUUGGUCUUUAUUUUCUGACAUGGACGUUUAAGAUUGCUUAUAUUAAACCUCUAUUUGACCAAAAGCAUUAGAAAAUUCAAUUAUAAAAUUAUGCUUUGCUCAAUGUUGAAGGCGUAUGGUGACCUAUAGUUGUUAAUAUCUGUGUCGUUUGAUCUCUAGUGCCAAUUGGUAUUACUGUUAAAAAUUUAUUUUCAAUAUAUCAAAAAAAGUACAAAUGGCUUAGUGAAUAGAAAUUUCAGUGCUUUAUUCUUCAUUAUGAAAGUGGGAUUUACCAGCAAUGAUUUAUUUGUGAAUGUAAGCAAAAUAAAUAAAUUUACAAUAAAUAUCUUUAUAAGAAAAAACAAAUACAUUUUUAGUGAAUUAAAUGUAAAGUGUCCCAUACCUAAAUAGAAUAGUCCAUUCAGGACAUUGAACAUGAGGAAAGCAAGCUAGCUAUCAUUCAUUUAAAUUAGCUCUGUCAAAAACAAACAAGGUAAAUCUACAGGAAGUUAAAUGACCACUUGUUGAUAAUAGCUCUCACAAUACCUAUUGUACAAUUUAAAUGGACAAAUUGUAUUGACAAUUUUUUUAACUGGUCAGGCAAUAGGUAAUUCACUUCCCCAAAGGUUAUUGGGUAAGCACAGUAAUAAAAAAAAAAGAAGAUAAUGUUAGAAAAGAAUAUAUUUUAAAAUUUGACCGUAUUUUCGUUUCUAUUUUUUUUAUGUCCCAUUUAUUAUGCGCCGUUUAUGGGCAUUAUGUUUUCUGGUCUGUUCGUCGUCCAUCUGUCCUGCUUCAGGUUUAAGUUUUUGGUUGAGGUGAGGUAGUUUUUGAUGUCAGAAGUUAAAGUCCAUGCAAUCAACUUGAAACUAAGCACAGAUCUUUCUAAUUUUAAUGCCAAAUUAGAGAUUUUACCCCAAUUUCACAAUCCACUGAACAUAGAAAUAGAUAGUGUGGAUGGGUCAUCCAUGUACUAUGGACACAUUCUUGUUUUCAACUUAUUUUCCAUACAUUCCUUGCUAUUUGCUCAAUAUGUAUGCCAGCUGAUACUUUUUAAUCAUUCCUUAAAUGAAUUUAUUCUAUUUUAUACUUGUAAAUAUUAAAAUUGUAUAUACAUUUUAUAUAGAAUAGUCAAUGGUGUUUUUAAUUCUAUUUAUAACUUUAUGUUUUAAUGAAAUGUGAUAUUUGAUAUCACAAACUAUUUGUACUAACUAUAUAUAUUUUUUAUUUCUGUAGUCAUGGAUACACACAAAUAACUUUAAUUAAUUUCAUUGUAUUAAAAGGCUUAGAUUAUGUAUACUAUUAUUAGAAGUAUUCAUUUAAAAAAGGUAUGAGGGUCUGGAUGGGGGGUCUGUUAUUCUGUAAACAUUUAAUUUUCACCCUUUUUUUUUCUCUAAUCUUCAAAUAAUUAACCCCUUUUUCUCUCUAAUCUUUAAAAAUUAGACUACACAUUUCUCUAAUCUUCAUUUUUUUUUGCCCGUUAUUUCUCUGAUCUUCAAUUUUUAAGGGCAUUAUUCUUUAAUCAUUUAACCCCAUCCAAACCCUCAGGUAUAAGGCUGCAUUAAUCCAUUUAUCAAUUAUUAAUUAAUUUUCAAGGUCUGAGGAAAUGUAUACUAAUAAUGUCAUAGUUAUAACAAAUUGUCCAAAUAAUUUUAAAGCAAUAAUUUUAUUCUAAGCAAACACUUUGAAAAAUAUACUAUAACCAAGGCAAUAAAAUGAAUAUUCAUUAACUUUUAUUUAAGGUUUCCUUGAUUGACAUGAGAAAAGACAAAAUCCCCAUAAUAGUGAAAUGAAAUAUAUGUCAUUUUUUAUAUUUAAUUCUAUGCUAUAUAUAUAUAUAUAUAUAUAUAUAUAUAAGAUAUUGUCAUAUUUUUUUAUACACCUAAUUUUUUGACUUUUUAAUUUUACUUGUUAAGAUGUCUUUAUAUUAUCAAGAGGAA